rnacentral:rRNA from 1 species
GACGAACGCUGGCGGCGUGCCUAAUACAUGCAAGUAGAACGCAGUUGCGAACGGGUGAGUAACGCGUAGGUAACUGCCUGGUAGCGGGGGAUAACUAUUGGAAAAGCUAGCUAAUACCGCCUACUUCCAGAUGGACCUGCGUUGUAUUAGCUAGUUGGUGGGGUAACGGCGCACCAAGGCAACGAUACAUAGCCGACCUGAGAGGGUGAUCGGCCACACGGGGACUGAGACACGGCCCAGACUCCUAAGGGAGGCAGCAGGAGGGAAUCUUCGGCAAUGGAAGGAAGGCUGACCGAGCAACGCCGCGGGAGGGAAGAAGGGUUUCGGAUCGUAAAGCUCGGGUGUAAGAGAAGCGGUAUCUUACCAGAAAGGGACGGCUAACUACGUGCCAGCAGCCGCGGGAAUAC